rnacentral:rRNA from 1 species
ACGUAGGGUGCGAGCGUUAAUCGGAAUUACUGGGCGUAAAGCGUGCGCAGGCGGUUCUUUAAGUCAGAGGUGAAAUCCCCGGGCUCAACCUCGGAACUGCAUUUGAAACUGCAGGACUAGAGUGCUGCAGAGGGGGGUAGAAUUUCGGGUGUAGCGGUGAAAUGCGUAGAGAUCCGGAGGAAUACCGGUGGCGGAGGCGGCCCCCUGGACAGAUACUGACGCUCAGAUGCGAAAGCGUGGGGAGCAAACAG